rnacentral:tRNA from 4 species
CGGAGUGUAGCGCAGCUUGGUAGCGUACCUGGUUUGGGACCAGGUGGUCGAAGGUUCAAAUCCUUUCACUCCGACCA